rnacentral:rRNA from 1 species
UAGGGAAUAUUAGUAAUGGGCGAAAGCCUGAACUAGCAACACCGCGUGUGCGAAGAAGGCCUUCGGGUUGUAAAGCACUUUUUGAGAGGAUGAGGAAGGACGGUACUCUCAGAAUAAGUCUCGGCUAACUACGUGCCAGCAGCCGCGGUAACACGUAGGAGGCAAACGUUAUCCGGAUUUACUUGGCGUCAAGCGCGUGUAGGUGGUUUGGUAAGUAGAGCGUGAAAGCUCCUGGCUCAACUGGGAGAGGUCGUUCUAAACUGCCGGACUAGAGGAUGGUAGAGGGAGGUGGAAUUCCGGGUGUAGCGGUGGAAUGCGCAGAUAUCCGGAGGAACACCAGUGGCGAAAGCGGCCUCCUGGACCACUCCUGACACUCAGACGCGAAAGCUAGGGGAGCAAACG